AUCAGCUGCCAGCGUCCCGUCGCCCCACGAUUAUUGAGCUCCACACUUUGGCACAAAGAGUGUUGGCUCAAGAGCAGAUUAAGCACGUCCAAGCCGACAGCCUCAAGCAAGAGAAGUGAGCGUCAUGCAGUCUCCAACGACUGAGUGCGACGACACUGCAGCAAUCCAGGGAAUGUUAAGAUUUCAGCUGUCAUUUAAAGGAAAAAAAUCACAAGGCUAAUGAAAUGAGUGUUGGCCCAAGAGCAGAUUGAGCACGUCCAAGCCGACAGCCUCAAGCAAGAGAAGUGAGCGUCAUGCAGUCUCCAACGAUGGAGUGCGACGACACUGCAGCAAUCCAGGGAAUGUUAAGAUUUCAGUUGUCAUUUAAAAGAGAAAAAUCACAAGGCUAAUGAAAUGUACUCGUACUACUGCAUUAAAUUAGCUUUGUUUUCUUACAAUUGGUUGAGGGGAAAUAACAUGUUAAUUGCAUUAUAAAAUGAUGUUAUAUAGUGAACGGUCCUGUUUCCGUGCCAUUGACAGAGAAAGACACCCGGCUCAGUUUUAACCAGGAGGGUUUCUGGCCAGUCCUCCUGGUCAAAUGGAUGGGACGUCCUUCACUGUCAAAUCUAGAUUUUACAAAACCUCUUUGUAGGGAUUUUGUAAUGUUGACAGUGACAAUGUGUUUUUUUUUAAACAAAUUAACAAGUGAUGAUAAUGCAUGUGUUGGCCCAAGGGCAGAUUGAGCACUUCCAAGCCGUCUGCCUCAAGCAGGAGAAGAGAGCGUCACUCCAAUGACACCAAGCGCAACAACACUGCAGCAAUCCAGGGAAUGCUCGUCUUUGUUAUUUAAGACAAAAAUCACAAAGCUAAUGACAUGUAUUAGUACUACAGCACUUGCUUAAUACUGCUUAAUCCAUGCUGUGUUUUCUUAGAAUUGGUUGGGGAAAAAAAAAAAUAAUUGAGUUGCAUUAUAAAAUGGUGUAUAUUGUGAACGGUCUCAUUCAGUGCCAAUGACUGAGAAAGACCUCUGAUCAGUUUUAACCAGGAGGGUUUCUGGCCAGUCCUCCUGGUCAAAUGGAUCUGACUACUUUUGCCGUCAACGACAGAUUUUACGAAAGCUCUUUGUAGGGAUUUUGUACUGUUGACUGUGUGUAUUUAACCAAUUAAGUGUUAGUAUUCAGAGUAUAUACAUAACAGUUGUAAAAUACAAUGUAUAUAUGGCAAAGAUAUAACUGGAUUCAUUUGUGGUGCCAGGACUGGUGGCGCAAGAGCCUCGAGCAGAUUGAGCACGUCCAAGCCGCCAGUGUCACCGCGUCAGUCUCCAACGAUGUCGAGCAUGGUCACGGCAGCAAUCCAGGAAAUGUCGAGCUUGUAGUUUGAUCAUCGUGUAUCAAUUGGCAACUGACAUCUGUUCUUUCGAUAGGACAGGUGAUAUUUGGAGAUGAAGAUCAGCAGUGACCUUGCAAAGUGGAUAUUCUGAGUGUCAUCAGAUGUUGGGAGACCAGAAGUCACCGAGAGCACAGCCUGAUUGGAAUUGUUGCCAUUUGUCAAAGAUGAGUAUUCAAAAGCCCUACUUUAUUAAAAAAAGAUGUAAAAAUGUCCAUAUGUAGUAUAAAAAAUAGUACUGAAGAUGCUUUUAAAGCCUUUGAUUAACUAUGGAGGACCAGUAGUGCCAGUGUAAAAUAUCAGGUUCAUGUUAGAAUAUUUACUUAUUCCUUUAUGUCAGUAUUGUCAAAUCUUAAAAUGGUUGGGUGCCCUUUAUCUUCCCAAAAAUGAUUUAGUAAAUAUUUUUAAAAUUUUUUUUGUUUCCCAGGGGGAAAAACAGGCAAUUUUAAGGUGGCAAUAUUUCAACUUUUGUCAUUUCAACUUUUAUUCAUUGUCUCGAUCAAUGGCGCCGCAAUGAAACAAAAGUGAAAUGGAGAAUGUUGAAAUGCAGAAAUAAAUGAAUAUUGUGCAAUGGAAAUAUAGAACUCUUAAAAUAUAAACUAAAGUUGGAAUAUAAAAUUACUCAUACAAAAUAUUUAACUAUGAACAUCUUAAUGAAACAUUUAACUAAAAAUGAUAAAUUUCCCUGAUUUCCACCUUUUGUGCAACUUGUUUUCGGGAGAACCCAACGACAGGAAUUUUCCUAAAUGGUUCAGGUUGGACGUACGAGCAGCUUCUGAUGUCUAUUUUAACUGUCAUAAGGAAGACCCUUGCCUGCUUGGCACUCAUUGGUGAGCCUUUAUGUAACAGUAGGGGCCAUUCAGUCGUUUCUUGGUGUAAUAAUUUUCCAGUUAAGCUUAAGUGGAGCGUAAUGAACUGCUGGAAAAGCAACAUUGACAGGUACUGUAUGUCAAGCCUUUUAGGUGUUAUUUAAAAGAGGGGGGGGGGGGGAAUUUUAUCUACUUGUACUAUUGCAACCGCUUAAUACUCAUUGCUUUAAAUUAGCUGGUGUGUAUUCUUACAACUGGUUAAUAAAAUGGCAUAGUGUUAAUUGCCUCAUAGAAUAGAAAAACUGUUGUAAAAUUUCAAAACGUAUAAAGUGAACGAUCCUGUUUUGGUGCCAUUGACUGCCGCGGACACCCGAUCAGUUUUACCGGGAGGGGUCUGGCCAGUCCUCCCGGUCAAACGGAUCGGACGUCUUUUGCCGUCAAAGCCAGAUUUGACAAAAGCCGUUAGAGUAAGUAGGGCUUUUGUACAGUUGACUGGAACUGAACAAAUUGUAUAUUUAACCAAUUAUUUUUUUAGUGUAUACAUAAGUUGUAAAAUACAAUGUAUAUGGUGGAAAACACUCAGGUGACUUGAAGUUCCGCUCUGAGACCCCCAAUUUGGCCAAAUUUCAAAAUUGUUCUCAAUGCAUGUGUGAUACAUCAUUGGAAAGCUUAAAAUCUCAAUUUGCUGGGGUAAGAAAACAUUUGAACAGGAGGGCAUUUUGGAAACAUUUUAAACAGCAAAAUCCUAACUGGAGGUGAGAGCACGCGAGAGCAGAAUUAAAGACGCCAUGUUUUUCACGAGAUAUUAUUGCGUACUUAGCUUGUUUCGAUACAAAAACUCCAUGUAGCAUGUAUCAUCGAGUGUUAAGACAAAGGUGUGAAUGGCCACAGCCGGAUUUGGGGGGGAUUUUAUGGGUGAAACAUGGUAAUAUAACAAGGGUCGUGAUACAGAUAUCGCAGACGUCAAGGAGUGGUCGAGAUUUUCUUUUUCAUAUAUUUACCCUUUUAAAAUUUUUGUUUGGAUUAAUCAUUUAUCUAAAAUAUCAGAGAAAAUGCGACAGUAACGAAAAAUACAACUAAGCACUAUGAGCUAGAUAUCCGUGACUUUUUUUAGACACAAUUUUUCAUUGUGACAUAAUUCGUUUAAAAUAUGCGAGUGAAUAAUUUUUUUGUCUUAAACUAAAAUUUGCACAUCAAUUAACGAUUCUAAGAUAAAAAUGGGACAUUUUGAAUAAUAAAUGUAAUUGAGGGCUAGGUUGAAAAAAAGUGGUUGCGCGGCGUCUGUAAACGGGGUUUUUUUAGGGUAAAACUGGCAAAUUAAAAAUAGUUCGGAGGCUUAGUGUGCCAUGAAUCUGCUAUGGCAGCAUAUAGAAAUAUUGUUCUAUCAAACACAAGUUAUUUUGGCUUAAAAUUCAAGUUUCUUUUAAAGAGUGCAAUAGCAGAAACUGCUUUUUCAGUCGUCUGUUUUCCGCCAUAUAUUGCAUGAAUAUGGCAAAAUAUAACCUAGAUUCAUUUGGUUCCAGGAGUGCCGACGCAAGAGCAGAUUGAGCACGUCCAUGCCACCAGCUUCAAGCAGGAGAAGCAAGAGUUGGUCUCCAAUGACAGUGUGGCGACACUGCAGCAAACCCGGGAAUGUUAAGCUUUCAGUUGUCAUUUAAAAGAAAAUAACUAAGCUAAUGAAAUGUACUAGUGCAACAGCUUAAUGUAUGCUUUAAAUUGGCUGGUUUUCUUAUUGGGGUGGGGUGGGGAAUUAUGUGUUAAUUGCAUUAAGAAAUUCAAAACUUGUAUAGUGAACGGUCCCGUUUCAGUGCCAUUGACAGCGACCGACUUCCGAUCCAUUUUAACCAGGAGGGGUCUGGCCAGUCCUCCUGGUUAAAUAAAUAGGAUGUCUUCUGCUGUCAACGGCAGAUUUUACAAAAUAAUUAGGACUUUUGACAAAGAACAAAUUGUAUGUUUAACCAAUUAAGUGUUAGUAUCCUGAGUAUAUACAUAAGUUGUAAAAUACAAUGUAUGUAUUGCAUGAAUAUGGCAAAAUAUAACUAAUUCAUCUGUGGUUCCAGGAGUGUUGGUUCAAGAACAGAUUGAGUACGUCCAAUGCCGCCAGCUUAAAGCAGGACAAGAGAGCGUCUCUCAAAUGACCGUGCGACGACACUGCAGUAAUCCAGGGAAUGUUAAGUUCUCAGUUGUCAUUUAAAAGGCGGGGGGGAAGCACAAAGCUAAUAAAAAGUACUAUUGCAACUGUUUAAAUCUAUGCAUUAAGUCGUCAGUUUUCUUCUAAAAAUUGUGUUAAUUCCAUUUUAAAAAAUGCAAAACGAUGUUUAUAGUGAACGAUCCAUUGACAGAUGGCAGUCUGAUCCAAUUUAACCGGGAGGGGUCUGGCCAGCCCUCCCAGUCAAAUGGAUUGGCACUUUGGCCAUCAGCAGUAUUUUUACAAAAGCUUAGAAUAAGUAGGACUUUUGACGGUAGUGCAUAUUUUACCUAUUAAGUGUUACUAAGAAUUGAUCAUGAAUUUUUUUUACAGGAGUGUUGGCCCAAGAGCAGAUUGAACAUGUCCGAGCUGUCAGCCUCAAGCAAGGGAAGAGAGCGUCUCUCCAAUGACGCCAAGUGCGACAGCACUGCAGCAAUCCAGGGAAUGUUAAGCUUUCAGUUGUCAAGUUAAAAUUUCUAAGCUAAUGAAGUGCGCUAGCAUUACUACAACUGCUUAAUCUAUGCAUUAAAUUAGCAGCUUGUUUUCCUACAAUUGGUUGGGGUAAAACAAUCACGUGUUAAUUGCAUUAAAAAAUAGAAAAAUUUAUAGCGAAUGGUCCUGUUUCCGUGCCAUUGACUACGACCGACUUACGAUCCAUUUUGACCAGGAGGGGGCUGGCCAAUCCUCCUGGUAAAAUGGCUCGCGCAAAUUUUGCCGUCAAUGGCAGAUUUUAGAAAAGAUGUUACUGAUUAGGACUUCUAUACUUUUAACACAGAACAAAAUGUAUAACUAAUAAGUGUUAGUAUCAGGUGUAAAAUACAAUGUAUAUAUUGCAUGAAUAUAGCAAAAUGUAACUAGUUUCACUUGUGGUUCCAGGAAUGUUGGCCCAAGAGCAGAUUGAGCUCAUCCAUGCCGCUCCAGCCUCAAGCAGAAUAGCGUCAGUCUCCAAUGACGUCAAGCGCGACAACACUGCAGCAUUCCAGGGAAUGCUUACCUUUCAGUUGUCAUUUGAAGAGAAAAUCACUUAGCUAAUGAAAUGCACAAGUACUGCAAAUGCUUAAUACGGCUCAAUCUUUACAUUAAAUUAGCUGGAUUGUUUUCUUAUAUAAAUUGUGUUAAUUCCAUUAAAAAGAGGCAGAACGAUAUUUUAAAUGCUAUUGACAGAAAUGGAAGUCCGAUCCAAUUUAACUGGGGGGGUCUGGCCAGCCCUCUGUCAAAUGGAUCUGAAGUCUUUUGCCAUCAGCGGGAGACUUUUUACAAAAGCUUAGAAUAUGUAGGACUUUUAACCGUACUGUGUAUAUUUUACCAAUUAACGAGUGUUGAUACAUGUUUCCAGGAAUGUUGGCCCAAAAACAGAUUGAACACAUCCAAGCCGUCAGCCUCAAGCAGAAGCGAGCGUCACUCCAACGAUGACACUGCAGCAAUCCAGGGAAUGUUGAGCUUUCAGUUGUCAUAUAAAAGGGAAAAAACCGCUAAGCUCAUGAAAUGGACACAUACAAAACGUGUAAAAAGUGACCGAUCCAGUUUCAAUGCCAUUGACAAACUGUCCGAUCCAAUUGAACCGGCAGGGAUCUGGCCAGUCCUCCCGGUGAAAUGGAUCGGACGUCUUUUGCCACCAACGGCAGAUUUGAUUAACAAUUUAAAUUGCAUGCAUGUUUAUUUUAUUGAACAGCCAAACAUGAUGAAUGAAAAGUAAAUAUUUCUUUCACUGCAGGACAAUCAUUUUGAAGGAAUGGAGUACAAUUCACCCAGUUAAGUAUACCUGUAAUAUUGAAAAGAAUCCCAAUCUAACAAUACAGUUAUUAAUAAUGCAUGUACUAUUCCAGGAGUCUGGAACAGAUUUGAGCACGUCCCAGCACGGGAAGCAAGUACCUGCACAGCAGCCGUAUUGGCCCAACUUUCCUCCGGGUGUAUGCGAAGUCACUGCAACGAUCCAGGACUGAUAUUUUUAGAUCAGCAGUGAUCUUGCAAAGUGGAUCUUCUCUGCAGUUGACCAGUGUCAUCAGAUUUUGGGAGUCCAGAAGAGAUUGUAAAUCUUGCCAUUUGUCAAAGAUGAGUAUUCAAAAGCCUUCCUGUGAUUUAAACAAAAAAAAAAAACAAAAAAAAACAUAUAUCAAGUCUUCCAGAUUUAGUAUAAAAACGGAACUGCUGAACAUGCUUUUAACGAUGGAGGACCAGUAGUGCCAAUAUUAAAUGUUAAUGUUUGAAAAUGACAUUUAAUUAUUUAAUUUCAAUAUUCUCAUUUUAAAAUAGUUGCCCAAGUCUUAUGUUGCCCAAAAAAUGAUUUAUUAAAUAUAGUUUAAAAUGAAGCAAAUCUUCUGUUUUUUUGCCAGGGGGGAUUUUAAGACUGUGGCAAUAUUUCUUGCAACUUUCCUCAUUAUUUCAACUUUUAUUCAUUGUCUCGAUCAAAGGCGCCGCAAUGAAAUAAAAGUGAAAUAGAAAAUGACGAAAUGCACAACUAUAUGAAUAAUUGCAAUUGAAAUAUAUAUAUAUAUAUAUUUUUUAAGAACAAGCGCUCUAAAUGAAACAUCCAAUUUUUUUUUUUUUUUUUUUUAAAUAGUUGUGUAUCUACAUUAUUUUGAUACUCCGGGUCCUCCAUGUUAGUUGACGUUGCAUUCAAAUUCAUUUAAGAUGGGAAGGUCGUAUUUGCUCAUCUUUGAGGGCCAUUAAUGAUACUUGAUGUCCAAUCUGUUAAGCUUCAUUCACUCCCAGCAUCAUGUUUAACUGCAUUAUUAUAUGUACACUGAGCAUGUCAUCAAUCAUCGACUGCCAUUGACAAGGAUGGGAAAUUACAUCACGGCAGGCAUGGAAUUUUAUUUGUGCAAAGGAUGGCCAAGCUGUUUUGACCAGGAGGUGGCUGGCCAGACCUCCCAGUCAAGGGCAGCUAAUAGAUGAAUCAAACACUAUCAUUAAUUACCUUUUUUAGUGCAGGAUCUUUAUAGUUAAUAUGUUGAAGUAACUGUUCGGUCAUUAAAGAAUUUUACAGCAAAUCUGCUAUAUCGAUUGUUGUCCAUGGCAGUCUGAGACCUGAAUACAUGUUCAGACCCAAAGCGAAACUGUUAGCCAAUUUAUCUGAAUAAAGGUGUAAUGCACAGAUGUCUAUUGAUGUCAAUUAGUUUGUACAGAGGUGCUUGCAGCCCUCCCAAGUCUUGCAUGUAUGGUACCAAAAUACUGAAGUGAAAAUGCAUUAUUUGCACUGAUGCCCUUUUUUGGCCCUUGAUGUAUAAUGACUGCUAAUCCUGUAAUUUUAUGCAACGUUCCUGGGCCACUAUUCAACAAUUUCUGUGCUCAAUG